AAGGAGCACCAUUUCCCAGUCGAAUGAACUAGGGAACAUAAAGUAGGCAUCUGUAGUGGAUAUCUACUUGGUGAAUAUGUUUUGUAAAUCCUGUCCACCCCGUGGAUGGGUAGUCGGCAAAACGUCGGACUGUCAUAAGAAUUGAAACGCUGGCACACUGUUGGGUCCUGAGGCAACACGUUGUGUUGUCACCCUGCUUGGUGGUGGGGUGUGGACUUUGACUUCUGAAUAGUGGUUGCGAGCAUCUAAACAUAGCCUCGCUCGUUUUCGAGUGGGGCUGGUUUUUGCAAUUUUAUUAGCUAAGUUCUUAAGGGCGCAUGGUGAAUGCCUUGGCACUAGAAGCCGAUGAAGGACGUGGGAGGCU
rnacentral:misc_RNA from 1 species